rnacentral:rRNA from 1 species
UACGAAGGGUGCUAGCGUUGUUCGGAAUGACUGGGCGUAAAGGGCGCGUAGGCGGUAGAAUACGUCUGAUGUGAAAUCCCCGGGCUUAACCUGGGAACUGCAUUGGAUACGGUUUUACUAGAGUCCGCGAGAGGAAGAUGGAAUUGUGCGUGUAGAGGUGAAAUUCGUAGAGAUGCACAAGAACACCGGUGGCGAAGGCGAUCUUCUGGAGCGGUACUGACGCUAAGGCGCGAAAGCGUGGGGAGCAAACAGG